AGAGUUUGAUCCUGGCUCAGGACGAACGCUGGCGGCGUGCUUAACACAUGCAAGUCGAACGGGAAGAGAUGAAGAGCUUGCUCUUUAUCGAAUCCAGUGGCAAACGGGUGAGUAACACGUAAACAACCUGCCUUCAGGAUGGGGACAACAGACGGAAACGACUGCUAAUACCGAAUACGUUCCACGGGCCGCAUGACCUGUGGAAGAAAGGGUAGCCUCUACCUGUAAGCUAUCGCCUGAAGAGGGGUUUGCGUCUGAUUAGGCAGUUGGUGGGGUAACGGCCCACCAAACCAACGAUCAGUAGCCGGUCUGAGAGGAUGAACGGCCACACUGGAACUGAGACACGGUCCAGACUCCUACGGGAGGCAGCAGUGGGGAAUCUUCCGCAAUGGACGAAAGUCUGACGGAGCAACGCCGCGUGAGUGAAGACGGCCUUCGGGUUGUAAAGCUCUGUGAUCCGGGACGAAAGAGCCUUGGGUAAAUAGCCUAAGGAAGUGACGGUACCGGAAAAGCAAGCCACGGCUAACUACGUGCCAGCAGCCGCGGUAAUACGUAGGUGGCAAGCGUUGUCCGGAAUUACUGGGUGUAAAGGGAGUGUAGGCGGGAUAUCAAGUCAGAAGUGAAAAUUACGGGCUCAACUCGUAACCUGCUUUUGAAACUGACAUUCUUGAGUGAAGUAGAGGCAAGCGGAAUUCCUAGUGUAGCGGUGAAAUGCGUAGAUAUUAGGAGGAACACCAGUGGCGAAGGCGGCUUACUGGACUGUAACUGACGUUGAGGCUCGAAAGCGUGGGGAGCAAACAGGAUUAGAUACCCUGGUAGUCCACGCCGUAAACGAUGGAUACUAGGUGUAGGAGGUAUCGACCCCUUCUGUGCCGGAGUUAACGCAAUAAGUAUCCCGCCUGGGAAGUACGAUCGCAAGAUUAAAACUCAAAGGAAUUGACGGGGGCCCGCACAAGCGGUGGAGUAUGUGGUUUAAUUCGACGCAACGCGAAGAACCUUACCAGGUCUUGACAUUGAUCGCAAUUUUCAGAAAUGAGAAGUUCUCCUUCGGGAGACGAGAAAACAGGUGGUGCACGGCUGUCGUCAGCUCGUGUCGUGAGAUGUUGGGUUAAGUCCCGCAACGAGCGCAACCC
rnacentral:rRNA from 1 species